rnacentral:precursor_RNA from 1 species
AAUGCUGUUUAUGCCCAAUUCUGAGUGUUUGGUAGGACUGGGCAUACAAGAGCGUUAU